rnacentral:rRNA from 1 species
GACGAAGGUGGCGAGCGUUGUUCGGUGUCACUGGGCUUAAAGGGUGUGUAGGCGGAACAGUAAGCGUUUUGUGAAAUCCCUCGGCUUAACCGAGGAAUUGCUUGAUGAACUGCUGUUCUUGAGGCAGACAGGGGUCAGUGGAACUGUCGGUGGAGCGGUGGAAUGCGUAGAUAUCAACAGGAACGCCGGUGGUGAAGUCGACUGACUGGAUCUGUACUGACGCUGAGACACGAAAGCGUGGGUAGCAAAUAGG